GAAGAGCCCUUCCAAGUUCCUCCAGGAGUGGGCCUUCUGUGAAAAUGUUUUGACUAGUUCCACCCAGUGAUGUCUUUAAUGAUUGUGCUCAUUGGUGGGGGCAGGAGUGGUAUGAUUUUACUUCUCUAGUGCAGGUACUAAAUGAUCACUAAAGCCAACGUGCAAGGUCUUUUUGAAAGUACAUAGAUUUAAGGUUUAAGGUGGUGAAACCGCACAACUCAGGUUGGGACUUGAACCCACUGUCUUUUAAUUGAGAUCUCAGGACUGGUCUCAGAACUUAAUGAAACUCAGGUUCUUUAUGUCUCCUCACAGAAGGAAUUCAGUGAGAGACAAAGUGAUAGGUAAGAAGUGGAUUUAUUUAGAGAGAUCCACAUUCCGUAGGCAGAAUGCGAUCAUCUCAAAAGGCAAGAGCGGCCCCAGGGCAUGGGGUCACUUCAGAAAGUCAGAGUGGCCAAGGGAGAAAAACACUCGUCAGAGUGUGGACCAUUUCAGAAGGCAAGAGGCCCCGAAAUAUGGGGUGGUUAGUUUUUAUGGGCGAGGUAAUUUUUUGGGGGAGGCCAUGCCCCAUGGCUUGAGGGAUCUUAGUUACCCCCACCAGGUAUCAAACCCAAGCCAUGGCAGUGAAAGCGCUGAGUCCUAACCACAGGACCGCCAGGGAAUUCCCUGGGGUGGGUAAUGUCAUAGGCUAAUGAGUGGGAGGAUUAUUCCAACUAUUUGGGGGGAGGGGCGGGGAUUUCCAGGGAUUGGGCCACUGCCCACUUUUCGGCCUUUUAUGGUUAGCCUCGGAACUGUCAUGGCACUGGUGGGCGUGUCGUUUAGCUGAUGUAUGAUAAUGAAUGUCCAAUGAGGCUCAAGGGCCACAGGAAGUAGAACCUUCCGCCAUCUUAGACCUAGUCGGUUCUAACCAGUUUCCUCUAUGUCGUGCCCUGCCCCCUUCCCUCCAGUUUCAGUGGUAUUAAGAGUAAACGCUGGAGUUUUGCAUGUGACUGCUACCUUGUACUCUCACCUUUCCGACUAACUGAUAAAUCUUCAUUGACACAUCAGGAAAUAACAACUUGCUCAGCACAGUCUGGCCCUCUAAAUGCCACACCACACCGGUACACACUGCCCUUUUUAUAUUUAUCUCUCAGGUGAUUCCCAAGUGCAGCCAAGUGUGAGAAGCAGAAGCGUGAAAUCAUCCUCCAUAAGUGACUCCCAGGAAAAAUUUGCCGAUCCUUCAGAGAAUCUAAAACUGAGGUUCCGUGUCCCAGUAAUUGGAAGAGAUGUGCCGUAUGGGUUAAGACUACAAGGGCAGAGAAACAACAAUGACAAAUAAGAAGCAAAAACCUGAAGUCGCAGAGUUUGAUGCUCCAAAUGGCAACCACCCACUGGUGUUUUUCACAGGAAAACAUGCAUGCAGCGUGCUCCAUGGAGAGAAACAGCAGGGGUUUGUUUAAUUAAUGAGGAGCAGCAGUUUCUCUACUCAACGACAGAAAGCCCAGCUUGUUCUAAAUAUAAAAGUCACCCUUAAACUCCUUGAAAAUCACUUCUUUCAGUAGUCAACAUCUGAGUCUAUAAUCCUCUCUGGAGUGCAACUUUUUUUUUUUUUUUUCCCUUGCGGUACGCGGACCUCUCACUGUUGUGGCCUCUCCCGUUGCGGAGCACAGGCUCCGGACGCGCAGGCCCAGCGGUCAUGGCUCACGGGCCCAGCCGCUCCGCGGCAUAUGGGAUCCUUCCGGACCGGGGCACGAACCCGCGUCCCCUGCAUCGGCAGGCGGACUGUCAACCACUGCGCCACCAGGGAAGCCCUUUUUUUUUUUUUUAAUGUAAGAAACCAUAGAGAAAAAUAUUGUAAAGAGAUUGGUUCCAAAGAACUCUGCCACUGAUUUACUGUCUAAGAAAUAAAUGGAGGGAGAGUCGUGAAGAUUAACCCAGCUUCUCAUGGAUGAUGGAUCCUAGAUACUCAAAUAAUUCCUCCUAUCAACUAUCCUAUUUUAGCAAGAAAAUACUGCGAGUGAAAGGUAUGGGUAAGUGACAUGAAUAACAUUUUCUUCCCAAAUUUGUCUUAACUGAAAUGUCUGAGGGAAACGCAUAAUUUAGAUAGUGGUUCAUAAACCUUCGUAAAAUAAAGAACCCUAUGCUAUGAUUAUUCAGCCUUGUGUGUUUUCCCCCCUCUUUUUCUUGUCCCAUUAAUUGAACUCUUGCUGUGUUCAGAUGCCCCCUGGAAUG